CAAGACAACACUGUCACAGUUUGGAAGCAGUAAUUUCACUUAUUCCCUGCCUACAACAGGAGUUUCGAUGGUGGGCACAGGCAUGUCACCUCAACAAGGGACAGCCUUUCACUCUACCCACAGCCAGGCAGACACUAACAGAUGCUUCGG